AUUGAACGCUGGCGGCAGGCUUAACACAUGCAAGUCGAGCGGAGAUGAGGUGCUUGCACCUUAUCUUAGCGGCGGACGGGUGAGUAAUGCUUAGGAAUCUGCCUAUUAGUGGGGGACAACAUUCCGAAAGGAAUGCUAAUACCGCAUACGCCCUACGGGGGAAAGCAGGGGAUCUUCGGACCUUGCGCUAAUAGAUGAGCCUAAGUCGGAUUAGCUAGUUGGUGGGGUAAAGGCCUACCAAGGCGACGAUCUGUAGCGGGUCUGAGAGGAUGAUCCGCCAAACUGGGACUGAGACACGGCCCAGACUCCUACGGGAGGUAGCAGUGGGGAAUAUUGGACAAUGGGCGGAAGCCUGAUCCAGCCAUGCCGCGUGUGUGAAGAAGGCCUUUUGGUUGUAAAGCACUUUAAGCGAGGAGGAGGCUACCUGGAUUAAUACUCUAGGAUAGUGGACGUUACUCGCAGAAUAAGCACCGGCUAACUCUGUGCCAGCCGCCGCAGUAACAC
rnacentral:rRNA from 1 species